rnacentral:rRNA from 1 species
UGAUCCAGCAAUGCCGCGUGUGUGAAGAAGGCCCUCGGGUUGUAAAGCACUUUUAUCAGGAACGAAAUACCACGGGUUAAUACCCUAUGGGGCUGACGGUACCUGAGGAAUAAGCACCGGCUAACUUCGUGCCAGCAGCCGCGGUAAUACGAAGGGUGCAAGCGUUAAUCGGAAUUACUGGGCGUAAAGGGUGCGUAGGCGGUUCGUUAAGUCUGUCGUGAAAUCCCCGGGCUCAACCUGGGAAUGGCGAUGGAUACUGGCGAGCUAGAGUGUGUCAGAGGAUGGUGGAAUUCCCGGUGUAGCGGUGAAAUGCGUAGAGAUCGGGAGGAACAUCAGUGGCGAAGGCGGCCAUCUGGGACAACACUGACGCUGAAGCACGAAAGCGUGGGGAGCAAACAGGAUUAGAUACCCUGGUAGUCCACGCCCUAAACGAUGCGAACUGGAUGUUGGUCUCAACUCGGAGAUCAGUGUCGAAGCUAACGCGUUAA